rnacentral:rRNA from 1 species
AACGAACGCUGGCGGCAGGCCUAACACAUGCAAGUCGAACGCCCUGGCAACAGGGAGUGGCAGACGGGUGAGUAACGCGUGGGAACGUGCCCUUCGGUUCGGAAUAACUCAGGGAAACUUGAGCUAAUACCGGAUACGUGCGAGAGCAGAAAGAUUUAUCGCCGAAGGAUCGGCCCGCGUCCGAUUAGCUAGUUGGUGAGGUAACGGCUCACCAAGGCGACGAUCGGUAGCUGGUCUGAGAGGAUGAUCAGCCACACUGGGACUGAGACACGGCCCAGACUCCUACGGGAGGCAGCAGUGGGGAAUAUUGGACAAUGGGCGCAAGCCUGAUCCAGCCAUGCCGCGUGAGUGAUGAAGGCCCUAGGGUUGUAAAGCUCUUUCGCCAGGGACGAUAAUGACGGUACCUGGAUAAGAAGCCCCGGCUAACUUCGUGCCAGCCGCCGCAGUAA